AUUCCGGAGAGGGAGCCUGAGAAACGGCUACCACAUCUAAGGAAGGCAGCAGGCGCGCAAAUUACCCAAUCCUAAUACAGGGAGGUAGUGACAAGAAAUAACAAUACAGGACUUUUUGGUUUUGUAAUUGGAAUGAGUUAAGUAUAAACCCCUUUACAAGUAUCAAUUGGAGGGCAAGUCUGGUGCCAGCAGCCGCGGUAAUUCCAGCUCCAAUAGCGUAUAUUAAAGUUGUUGCAGUUAAAAAGCUCGUAGUUGGAUUUCUGUUAAUAAUUUAUAUAUAAUAUUUGAUUAAUAUUUAUAUAAUAUUAACAUAAUUCAUAUUACUAAAUUUAUUAGUAUAUGAAAUUUUACUUUGAGAAAAUUAGAGUGCUUAAAGCAGGCAUAUGCCUUGAAUACUCCAGCAUGGAAUAAUAUUAAAGAUUUUUAUCUUUCUUAUUGGUUCUAAGAUAAAAAUAAUGAUUAAUAGGGACAGUUGGGGGCAUUUGUAUUUAACAGUCAGAGGUGAAAUUCUUAGAUUUGUUAAAG
rnacentral:rRNA from 1 species